AACCAUCGGCCGGGAAUCGAACCCGGGGCGCCCGCGUGGCAGGCAAGCCUUCUACCACUGAAUCAAAAGCAAACGGU
rnacentral:tRNA from 1 species